rnacentral:rRNA from 1 species
AUUGAACGCUGGCGGCAGGCCUAACACAUGCAAGUCGAACGGUAACAGGAAGCAGCUUGCUGCUUUGCUGACGAGUGGCGGACGGGUGAGUAAUGUCUGGGAAACUGCCCGAUGGAGGGGGAUAACUACUGGAAACGGUAGCUAAUACCGCAUAACGUCGCAAGACCAAAGAGGGGGACCUUAGGGCCUCUUGCCAUCGGAUGUGCCCAGAUGGGAUUAGCUAGUAGGUGAGGUAACGGCUCACCUAGGCGACGAUCCCUAGCUGGUCUGAGAGGAUGACCAGCCACACUGGAACUGAGACACGGUCCAGACUCCUACGGGAGGCAGCAGUGGGGAAUAUUGCACAAUGGGCGCAAGCCUGAUGCAGCCAUGCCGCGUGUAUGAAGAAGGCCUUCGGGUUGUAAAGUACUUUCAGCGGGGAGGAAGGGAGUAAAGUUAAUACCUUUGCUCAUUGACGUUACCCGCAGAAGAAGCACCGGCUAACUCCGUG